rnacentral:rRNA from 1 species
AGCGAGUCCGAAUAGUGCGGUUCAGUCGCGUGUCCUAGACCCGCGGCGGAGUGAUCUAGCCAUGGGCAGGGUGAAGCAGCAGUAAGAUGUUGUGGAGGCCCGCACCCACUUCAGUUGAAAAUGGAGGGGAUGACCUGUGGUUAGGGGUGAAAGGCCAAUCAAACUCUGUGAUAGCUGGUUCUCCCCGAAAUGCAUUUAGGUGCAGCGUUGCGUGGUUCUUGCCGGAGGUAGAGCUACUGGAUGGCUGAUGGGCCCCACCGGGUUACUGACGUCAACUAAACUCCGAAUGCCGGUAAGGUUCAGCGUGGCAGUGAGACAGUGGGGGAUAAGCUUCAUUGUCGAGAGGGAAACAGCCCAGACCAUCAACUAAGGCCCCUAAGCGUGUGCUGAGUGGGAAAGGAUGUUCAGUUGCGAAGACAACCAGGAGGUUGGCUUAGAAGCAGCCACCCUUGAAAGAGUGCGUAAUAGCUCACUGGUCAAGUGAUUGAGCGCCGAUAAUGUAGCGGGGCUAAGUACACCGCCGAAGUUGUGGCAGCAUCACGAUACUGUAAUGGUGUGGUGUUGGGUAGGGGAGCGUCGUGUCGCCAGUGAAGUCGCCGUGUGAACGAGUGGUGGAGGCGUCACGAGUGAGAAUGCAGGCAUGAGUAGCGAAAGACGGGUGAGAAACCCGUCCACCGGAUGACCAAGGGUUCCAGGGCUAGGCUAAUCCGCCCUGGGUAAGUCGGGACCUAAGGCGAGGCCGACAGGCGUAGUCGAUGGACAACCAGUUGAUAUUCUGGUACCGACACACAACCGACAAUACCAAAACACAUGACACUAACUCAUCGCUCACCCCUGAGUACUUCGGUACUUGGUUUGGGUGGACCGGUGAGGACCUGAGUGUGGAGUCGGUAAGCGUGAGGUGUGACGCAGAAUGGUAGCCAGGCCACGCGAUGGUAGUCGUGGUCUAAGGUCGUAGCAUGUGGGGGUAGGCAAAUCCGUCCCCACACAAGUGUGAGAGCUGAUGGGCGCCCCACAGUGGUGGGGUGAUCUGGUGAUCCUCUGCUGCCGAGAAAAGCAUCGACGUGAGGGUGUGUGUUGCCC